AAUAUUGGACAAUGGGGGAAACCCUGAUCCAGCCAUGCAGCGUGUGAAGAAGGUCUUCGUAUUGUAAAGCACUUUAAGUUGGGAGGAAGGGUUGUUGGCUAAUAUGCAGCAAUUUUGACGUUACCGCCAGAAUAAGAACCGGCUAACUCUGUUCCAGCAGCCGCGGUAAUUCAGAGGGUGCAAGUGUUAAUCAGAAUUACUGGGCGUAAAGCGCGCGUAAGUGGUUCAGUAAGAUGGGUGUGAAAUCCCCGGGCUUAACCUGGGAACUGCUUUCAUAACUGCUGAGCUAGAGUACGGUAGAGGGUAGUGGAAUUUCCUGUGUAGCGGUGAAAUGCGUAGAUAUAGGAAGGAACACCAGUGGCGAAGGCGACUACCUGGACUGAUACUGACACUGAGGUGCGAAAGCGUGGGGAGCAAAC
rnacentral:rRNA from 1 species